rnacentral:rRNA from 1 species
GACGAACGCUGGCGGCGUGCUUAACACAUGCAAGUCGAACGGAAAGGCCCUGCUUUUGUGGGGUGCUCGAGUGGCGAACGGGUGAGUAACACGUGAGUAACCUGCCCUUGACUUUGGGAUAACUUCAGGAAACUGGGGCUAAUACCGGAUAGGAGCUCCUGCUGCAUGGGGGGGGUUGGAAAGUUUCGGCGGUUGGGGUUGGACUCGCGGCUUAUCAGCUUGUUGGUGGGGUAGUGGCUUACCAAGGCUUUGACGGGUAGCCGGCCUGAGAGGGUGACCGGCCACAAUGGGACUGAGAUACGGCCCAGACUCCUACGGGAGGCAGCAGUGGGGAAUAUUGCACAAUGGGCGGAAGCCUGAUGCAGCAACGCCGCGUGCGGGAUGACGGCCUUCGGGUUGUAAACCGCUUUCGCCUGUGACGAAGCGUGAGUGACGGUAAUGGGUAAAGAAGCACCGGCUAACUACGUG